AAUUUGACUCAACACGGGGAAACUUACCAGGUUAAAACAUUAGUGGGAUUGACAGAUUGAGAGCUCUUUCUUGAUUCAAUGGGUGGUGGUGCAUGGCCGUUCUUAGUUCGUGGAGUGAUUUGUCUGCUUAAUUGCGAUAACGCGACGAGACCAUUACCUGCUUACUAGACACGUGAUGUCAAUCGCGUGCUCUUCUUAGAGGGACUUUGGAAUUUCAAUUCCAAGGAAGUUGGUGGCUAUAACAGGUCUGUGAUGCCC
rnacentral:rRNA from 1 species